rnacentral:rRNA from 1 species
CCGUAGCUGGUCUGAGAGGAUGAUCAGCCACAUCGGGACUGAGACACGGCCCGAACUCCUACGGGAGGCAGCAGUGGGGAAUAUUGGACAAUGGGGGGAACCCUGAUCCAGCCAUGCCGCGUGUGUGAAGAAGGCCCUCGGGUUGUAAAGCACUUUCAGCGAGGAAGAACGCCUAGCGGUUAAUACCCGCUAGGAAAGACAUCACUCGCAGAAGAAGCACCGGCUAACUCCGUGCCAGCAGCCGCGGUAAUACGGAGGGUGCAAGCGUUAAUCGGAAUUACUGGGCGUAAAGCGCGCGUAGGUGGCUUGAUAAGCCGGUUGUGAAAGCCCCGGGCUCAACCUGGGAACGGCAUCCGGAACUGUCAAGCUAGAGUGCAGGAGAGGAAGGUAGAAUUCCCGGUGUAGCGGUGAAAUGCGUAGAGAUCGGGAGGAAUACCAGUGGCGAAGGCGGCCUUCUGGACUGACACUGACACUGAGGUGCGAAAGCGUGGGUAGCAAACAGGAUUAGAUACCCUGGUAGUCCACGCCGUAAACGAUGUCGACCAGCCGUUGGGUGCCUAGCGCACUUUGUGGCGAAGUUAACGCGAUAAGUCGACCGCCUGGGGAGUACGGCCGCAAGGUUAAAACUCAAAUGAAUUGACGGGGGCCCGCACAAGCGGUGGAGCAUGUGGUUUAAUUCGAUGCAACGCGAAGAACCUUACCUACUCUU